GAUGAACGCUGGCGGCGUGCCUAAUACAUGCAAGUCGAGCGAACGGACGAGAAGCUUGCUUCUCUGAUGUUAGCGGCGGACGGGUGAGUAACACGUGGAUAACCUACCUAUAAGACUGGGAUAACUUCGGGAAACCGGAGCUAAUACCGGAUAAUAUUUUGAACCGCAUGGUUCAAAAGUGAAAGAUGGCCUUGCUGUCACUUAUAGAUGGAUCCGCGCUGCAUUAGCUAGUUGGUAAGGUAACGGCUUACCAAGGCAACGAUGCAUAGCCGACCUGAGAGGGUGAUCGGCCACACUGGAACUGAGACACGGUCCAGACUCCUACGGGAGGCAGCAGUAGGGAAUCUUCCGCAAUGGGCGAAAGCCUGACGGAGCAACGCCGCGUGAGUGAUGAAGGUCUUCGGAUCGUAAAACUCUGUUAUUAGGGAAGAACAUAUGUGUAAGUAACUGUGCACAUCUUGACGGUACCCAAUCAGAAAGCCACGGCUAACUACGUG
rnacentral:rRNA from 1 species